GACGAACGCUGGCGGCGUGCCUAAUACAUGCAAGUUGAGCGCUGAAGGUUGGUACUUGUACCAACUGGAUGAGCAGCGAACGGGUGAGUAACGCGUGGGGAAUCUGCCUUUGAGCGGGGGACAACAUUUGGAAACGAAUGCUAAUACCGCAUAAAAACUUUAAACACAAGUUUUAAGUUUGAAAGAUGCAAUUGCAUCACUCAAAGAUGAUCCCGCGUUGUAUUAGCUAGUUGGUGAGGUAAAGGCUCACCAAGGCGAUGAUACAUAGCCGACCUGAGAGGGUGAUCGGCCACAUUGGGACUGAGACACGGCCCAAACUGCUACGGGAGGCAGCAGUAGGGAACCUUCGGCAAUGGACGAAAGUCUGACCGAGCAACGCCGCGUGAGUGAAGAAGGUUUUCGGAUCGUAAAACUCUGUUGGUAGAGAAGAACGUUGGUGAGAGUGGAAAGCUCAUCAAGUGACGGUAACUACCCAGAAAGGGACGGCUAACUACGUG
rnacentral:rRNA from 1 species